GGGUUGUGAGGUUAAGCGACUAAGCGUACACGGUGGAUGCCCUGGCAGUCAGAGGCGAUGAAGGACGUGCUAAUCUGCGAAAAGCGACGGUAAGGUGAUAUGAACCGCUACAGCCGUCGAUGUCCGAAUGGGGAAACCCAGUGUGUUUCGACACACUAUCGUUAACUGAAUACAUAGGUUAACGAGGCGAACCGGGGGAACUGAAACAUCUAAGUACCCCGAGGAAAAGAAAUCAACCGAGAUUCCCCCAGUAGCGGCGAGCGAACGGGGAGCAGCCCAGGACCUGAAUCAGCUUGUGCAUCAGUGGAAGCGUCUGGAAAGUCGCGCGAUACCGGGUGACAGCCCCGUACACGAAGAUGCACAGGUUGUGAGUCCGACGAGUAGGGCGGGACACGUGGUAUCCUGUCUGAACAUGGGGGGACCAUCCUCCAAGGCUAAAUACUCCUGACUGACCGAUAGUGAACCAGUACCGUGAGGGAAAGGCGAAAAGAACCCCGGCGAGGGGAGUGAAACAGAACCUGAAACCGUGUACGUACAAGCAGUGGGAGCACCUUCGGGUGUGACUGCGUACCUUUUGUAUAAUGGGUCAGCGACUUAUAUUCUGUAGCAAGGUUAACCGCAUAGGGGAGCCGAAGGGAAACCGAGUCUUAAUUGGGCGUUAAGUUGCAGGGUAUAGACCCGAAACCCGGUGAUCUAGCCAUGGGCAGGUUGAAGGUUGGGUAACACUAACUGGAGGACCGAACCGACUAAUGUUGAAAAAUUAGCGGAUGACUUGUGGCUGGGGGUGAAAGGCCAAUCAAACCGGGAGAUAGCUGGUUCUCCCCGAAAGCUAUUUAGGUAGCGCCUCGUGAACUCAUCUCCGGGGGUAGAGCACUGUUUCGGCUAGGGGGCCAUCCCGGCUUACCAACCCGAUGCAAACUGCGAAUACCGGAGAAUGUUAUCACGGGAGACACACGGCGGGUGCUAACGUCCGUCGUGAAGAGGGAAACAACCCAGACCGCCAGCUAAGGUCCCAAAGUCAUGGUUAAGUGGGAAACGAUGUGGGAAGGCACAGACAGCCAGGAUGUUGGCUUAGAAGCAGCCAUCAUUUAAAGAAAGCGUAAUAGCUCACUGGUCGAGUCGGCCUGCGCGGAAGAUGUAACGGGGCUAAACCAUGCACCGAAGCUGCGGCAGCGACGUGUAAAUGUUGUUGGGUAGGGGAGCGUUCUGUAAGCCGCUGAAGGUGUGCUGUGAGGCAUGCUGGAGGUAUCAGAAGUGCGAAUGCUGACAUAAGUAACGAUAAAGCGGGUGAAAAGCCCGCUCGCCGGAAGACCAAGGGUUCCUGUCCAACGUUAAUCGGGGCAGGGUGAGUCGACCCCUAAGGCGAGGCUGAAAAGCGUAGUCGAUGGGAAACAGGUUAAUAUUCCUGUACUUGGUGUUACUGCGAAGGGGGGACGGAGAAGGCUAGGUUAUCCGGGCGACGGUUGUCCCGGUUUAAGCGUGCAGGUGUGAAGACCAGGCAAAUCCGGUCUUCUUUAACACUGAGGCGUGAUGACGAGCCGCUACGGCGGUGAAGUAACUGAUGCCCUGCUUCCAGGAAAAGCCUCUAAGCUCCAGGUAACACGAAAUCGUACCCCAAACCGACACAGGUGGUCAGGUAGAGAAUACCAAGGCGCUUGAGAGAACUCGGGUGAAGGAACUAGGCAAAAUGGUGCCGUAACUUCGGGAGAAGGCACGCUGGCGCGUAGGUGA
rnacentral:rRNA from 1 species